rnacentral:rRNA from 1 species
CAAUAGCGUAUAUUUAAGUUGUUGCAGUUAAAAAGCUCGUAGUUGGAUUUUGGGUCGGGGGCACCGGUCCGCCGUUCCGGUGUGCACUGGUGGCCCCUUCCUUUCUGCCGGGGACGUGCGUCGCACUUAAUUGGGUGGCGUUCGGAGUCGGCGUUGUUACUUUGAAAAAAUUAGAGUGUUCAAAGCAAGCCAUCGCUCUGAAUACAUUAGCAUGGAAUAACAUGAUAGGACUCCGGUCUUAUUUUGUUGGUUUCCGAGACUGGAGUAAUGAUUAAGAGGGACAGUCGGGGGCAUCCGUAUUCCAUUGUCAGAGGUGAAAUUCUUGGAUUUAUGAAAGACGAACUUCUGCGAAAGCAUUUGCCAAGGAUGUUUUCAUUAA